GUUCAGUGCUUGAAACUCCGUCAGGCACUGAUCUAACAGGAAGUGAGCGUAAAGCAGGGAAGGAUUGGACGAGCAGUAAAAAGUUAUUCCAAGUAUUUUUUUACUUCCCGUUAGUCAUGUCCCGAGCCUAAAAACAAGUUCCUUAUCCCAGACCAGAGAAACCAAACCGACCUCAAGGCUGCGAAAAGCUGGAGCCGCACCCAGAGUUCCAAGAAAUUCUUCAUUCUUUGAGAAGAAACGCAGCGGGACAAGCCUCCCUCGGACAGAAAACAUCAAAUUAUCAGUUUCCAUUAAAGCUUUAAUGGUUCUCACGUUUCACCGUGAAAUUAUAAAAUAAAACAAGUUGAAAUGA